AUUGAACGCUGGCGGCAUGCUUUACACAUGCAAGUCGAACGGUAACAGGCCUUCGGGUGCUGACGAGUGGCGAACGGGUGAGUAAUGCAUCGGAACGUACCCAGAGGUGGGGGAUAACGCAGCGAAGCUGUGCUAAUACCGCAUGUGAUCUGAGGAUGAAAGCGGGGGACCGAGCAGCAAUGUUUGGCCUCGCGCCUUUGGAGCGGCCGAUGUCGGAUUAGCUAGUUGGUGGGGUAAAGGCCUACCAAGGCGACGAUCCGUAGCUGGUCUGAGAGGACGACCAGCCACACUGGGACUGAGACACGGCCCAGACUCCUACGGGAGGCAGCAGUGGGGAAUUUUGGACAAUGGGCGCAAGCCUGAUCCAGCAAUGCCGCGUGCGGGAAGAAGGCCUUCGGGUUGUAAACCGCUUUUGGCAGGAACGAAACGGUGUCCGCUAAUACCGGGCGCUAAUGACGGUACCUGCAGAAUAAGCACCGGCUAACUACGUG
rnacentral:rRNA from 1 species